rnacentral:lncRNA from 1 species
GUGCACACACACACGGACAACACCCACCGUGACUGGGUUGGAUCCAGUUCUGCUCCUCCCUGUCUCUUCCCCUGCCCCUCACGCCAAAGCAGGGAAUGCGCAAAGCCCACUUCCAAACCGCCCGGUCCUGGGCGCGGUGGGGCCGGCAGGAGCUCUGGGCGGGUCCUGCGCGUUGCCAGCGCGGUGAGCCGGUCAGCACGGGGCGGGGGAGGCCCAGGCGUGGCUUCCACGGCCCAGCUCCGCCUCUCGCUCUGGGGAAUCUGGGGCCCAGGCUCUUCCCCGCCUUGGACCACAGAGGGAGGCGAGAAAAGCCCGGCACCGGGUCACGCGUCUGGGCAGGAAGUGACGCACUGGCUCGGUGGCUUCCGCUGCAGACGGCCUGUACGCUCUCGGUUCCUGCCCUUCCUCCUCCUCCUCCCUCAAUCACGGCAGAAGCACACAGGACCUGCCGGGAAGCCACGGGCGCAACGAGAAGCAGCCUCGCGAGAUCCCACGAAGGCCAAGGGUGCAUCAGGUGAUGCUGAGAGAGGCCCAAGGGCGACCCCCACGGCCCACCCCCACCAUGAAGUCAGCCGGUGGAGGCGGGGUGGGGGCUGGAGGCAGAGCCAAGUUCUGGUGGCACUGCCGGUGAGGCGGAUUUUACAGCCUGGCCGAGUCUACCAUGCCCCCACGUGUGGAGCAGGUGCACACGGUGCGUCCUCUGGUCACAGUGGGCGGGCUGCAGCAUUUGACACUGGUGCAGCGUAGCCAUGGCAAACCGUCAGCAUAAAUAAUUUGGCAUAAGUAGAAUAUAAAUUAUUCCGAAGUGGCGAUCUCGUUUCCUUCUCUUGUCCUCCCUCGUGUGGGUCUCCCUGGACUCUCUGGCCCGGCUCCCACACAGGAUGGCGGGGGCAGACUCUGACACCACACAGUCCUCCAGAUGCGGGGCCCACAGUCCAGGACGCCGUCCCCUUGUGUGGGUCCCCGCCGUGCCCCGGAAGGGGCGACCUGCACAAACCUUCAUCAAACCUGCGUGCCCCGGUCAGUCUCAUCAGCAUUUGUGGCACAAAGACCGUGGCGAGGGAGUCGGAGGCGCGGGCGCUGCAGGACGAGGGCGUGCCUGCCCAAAGCCGGGCCUUGCGGUCACUCGGCACCUGCCGCGUGGGCGGCUGCCACGCUCCUCGCCCCACAGGCCUGGGUGCCUGGAAUCGGGGCUGCCACGCCUCUGUGCUGUCUGCUCCCAAGUCCUCCUUCCACGUGGACCCUGAGCGGUCCGGCCACCCAGAAGCACUUGCUUGCCGGAAAGUGCUGGCCGAGAGGAGGCUCGGGGAAGGCUGCUCUGGGGGACGUCUGUGCUCGGGUCCACGGAGCUGGAAUGUCAGGUGAUCAGUCCGGGACAGAGUGGGGGCCACGCCUCGCGUCCCACUGCUGCCCCCAGGUCUGGGCUACGAGGGCCUCAGAGCUUCUUUGGAGAGCCGAUCAUGACCUUGGACACAAAGUUGACAAUGGCGCUGGCUGGCUGCUCGGGGUCGUGCUCUGCGAACAGGUGGCACACGUUGUCCGUGGCGCUGCCCUGCUUCCGGGCCACGAAUCCAAAGACUCUGCAAAAAAGAGGCUCCAGGUCAGGGCGUCCGCCGUGCACGGGGCCCCAGGCGUCCCCCGCGCACAGGCCCCAGGUGUCCACCGUGCACAGGCCCCAGGUGUCCACUGUGCACGGGGCCCCAGGCGUCCCCCGCGCACAGGCCCCAGGCGUCCCCCGCGCACAGGCCCCAGGUGUCCACCGUGCACAGGGUCCCAGGUGUCCACCGCGCACAGGCCCCAGGUGUCCACCGCGCACAGGCCCCAGGUGUCCACCACGCACAGGGUCCCAGGGUCCCAGGCGUCCACCGCGCACAGGCCCCAGGCGUCCCCCGCGCACAGGCCCCAGGCGUCCACCAUGCACAGGCCCCAGGCGUCCACAGCGCACAGGCCCCAGGCGUCCACCGCGCACAGGCCCCAGGCUUCUGCUUCCUGCGACCACAGGCAGCACCACGGGAAGAAUGGCACGUCUACGCCUGCCAAGCACCGGGCGGCUACGUGUGCAGGUUCCGGACCUGCGGCUAAGCCUCAGAGCUGCCCUGCAGGUGAGGGCGUGGGAUGCUGAUGGAUGUGGCUGCCCCAGUCACACGCCAGCAGGGCCAGGAUCCUCAGAUCCCGAGGAGUGGGUGAAGCCCUGGGGAGGGGUCCGGGGCCUCUGGGAGAUGCUGACUCCACACGCACACCCCCCAGAGGGAAACACACAGGGUGUGUGUGGGUAUGCACGGGGUGCGUGUGUGGCUACACAUGGGGUGCGUGUGUGGCUACGCACGGGCACGGCUCGGGACCCUGCUGAAAGCACUGAGCCGCCACCACUGCAGGCUGUCCAAGCCCUCCACUGCACACAGCCACGCCCGCAGCCCAGGCCAGCCUUGUCCAUCUUCCUGGGAAACACGACAGGCGUGUUCCCUCCGCUCAGCGGCCCUGCAGGGACGGGGCCCAUGGCAUGCAGAAGCCCAAGCCCCUGCCGGGCAGAGGGGGCCGUGUCCGGGCUGGGGAGGCCCGGCACCGAGCAGAAACCCCAGCUAGGGACGCCCUGGAGUGGAAGGCGAGGGCGGCGUCCCCUCCUCCUGCCACGGGGCCUGGCGCACGCAGCGGAGUGGAGCAGCUUCCUCCGGAGAGGCCUCUCGGGCAGGCCAGGCACUCACUUGGAGGAGGUGGGGCUGUCCUUGAUCCACCUGGCAAGUUAA